rnacentral:rRNA from 1 species
UGACUCNUUAAGGGUCCUGAAGGAACGUUGAAGACGACGACGUUGAUAGGCCGGGUGUGUAAGCGCAGCGAUGCGUUGAGCUAACCGGUACUAAUGAACCGUGAGGCUUAACCUUACAACGCCGAAG